rnacentral:rRNA from 1 species
GAUGAACGCUAGCUACAGGCUUAACACAUGCAAGUCGAGGGGCAGCAUGGUCUUAGCUUGCUAAGGCCGAUGGCGACCGGCGCACGGGUGAGUAACGCGUAUCCAACCUGCCUUACACUCUUGGACAGCCUUCUGAAAGGGAGAUUAAUACAAGAUGUUAUCAUGAGUAAGCAUUUUCGCAUGAUUAAAGGUUUACCGGUGUAAGAUGGGGAUGCGUUCCAUUAGAUAGUAGGCGGGGUAACGGCCCACCUAGUCUUCGAUGGAUAGGGGUUCUGAGAGGAAGGUCCCCCACAUUGGAACUGAGACACGGUCCAAA